rnacentral:rRNA from 1 species
AAAUUGAAGAGUUUGAUCAUGGCUCAGAUUGAACGCUGGCGGCAGGCCUAACACAUGCAAGUCGAACGGUAACAGGAAUCAGCUUGCUGAUUUGCUGACGAGUGGCGGACGGGUGAGUAAUGUCUGGGAAACUGCCUGAUGGAGGGGGAUAACUACUGGAAACGGUAGCUAAUACCGCAUAACGUCGCAAGACCAAAGAGGGGGACCUUCGGGCCUCUUGCCAUCGGAUGUGCCCAGAUGGGAUUAGCUAGUAGGUGGGGUAACGGCUCACCUAGGCGACGAUCCCUAGCUGGUCUGAGAGGAUGACCAGCCACACUG